rnacentral:lncRNA from 12 species
GGGGGGGGGGGGGGGGGGGGGGGGGGGGGGGGGGGGGGGGGGGGGGGGGGGGGGGGGGCUAAGCAGAGGAAGAUUCUGUGGCCUGGGAUAGAGUGCUCAGCAGAGGGAGAAGCUGCAGCCUGGUCCAGAGUCCUGAGGAGAGGCAGAAGCUGUGUCCAGGCCCAGAGUCCAGAGCAGAGGCAAGAGCUGUGGCCUGUUGCAGAGUCGUGAGCAAAGGCAGAAGCA